CGAACGCUGGCGGCAGGCCUAAUACAUGCAAGUCGAACGGCUCUUCGGAGCAGUGGCGGACGGGUGAGUAACGCGUGGGAAUGUGCCCUUUGGUACGGAACAACACAGGGAAACUUGUGCUAAUACCGUAUGCGCCCUUCGGGGGAAAGAUUUAUCGCCAUUGGAGCAGCCCGCGUUGGAUUAGGUAGUUGGUAAGGUAAAGGCUCACCAAGCCUACGAUCCAUAGCUGGUCUGAGAGGAUGACCAGCCGCACUGGGACUGAGACACGGCCCAGACUCCUACGGGAGGCAGCAGUAGGGAAUCUUGCGCAAUGGGCGAAAGCCUGACGCAGCCAUGCCGCGUGUAUGAUGAAGGUCUUAGGAUUGUAAAAUCCUUUCACCGGUGAAGAUAAUGACUGUAGCCGGAGAAGAAGCCCCGGCUAACUUCGUGCCAGCCGCCGCCGUAACAC
rnacentral:rRNA from 1 species